GAUGAACGCUGGCGGCGUGCCUAAUACAUGCAAGUCGAGCGAACGGACGAGAAGCUUGCUUCUCUGAUGUUAGCGGCGGACGGGUGAGUAACACGUGGAUAACCUACCUAUAAGACUGGGAUAACUUCGGGAAACCGGAGCUAAUACCGGAUAAUAUUUUGAACCGCAUGGUUCAAAAGUGAAAGACGGUCUUGCUGUCACUUAUAGAUGGAUCUGCGCUGCAUUAGCUAGUUGGUAAGGUAACGGCUUACCAAGACAACGAUGCAUAGCCGACCGGAGAGCGUGAUCGGCCACACUGUAACUGAGACACGGUCCACACUCCUACGGUAGGCAGCAGUAGGGAAUCUUCCGCAAUGGGCGAAAGCCUUACGGAGCAACGCCGCGUGAGUGAUGAAGGUCUUCGGAUCGUAAAACUCUGUUAUUAGGGAAGAACAUAUGUGUAAUUAACUGUGCACAGCUUGACGGUACCUAAACAGAAAGCCACGGCUAACUACGUG
rnacentral:rRNA from 1 species